GGAACUCGGCAAAAUGACCCCGUAACUUCGGGAGAAGGGGUGCUGACAGAGAUGUCAGCCGCAGUGAAUAGGCCCAGGCGACUGUUUAUCAAAAACACAGGUCUCUGCAAAAUCGAAAGAUGACGUAUAGGGGCUGACGCCUGCCCGGUGCUGGAAGGUUAAGAGGAGUGCUUAGGAGCAAUCCGAAGGUACGAAUUGAAGCCCCAGUAAACGGCGGCCGUAACUAUAACGGUCCUAAGGUAGCGAAAUUCCUUGUCGGGUAAGUU
rnacentral:rRNA from 1 species